UCGGAUUUGCUGGUCGGACAUA
rnacentral:miRNA from 1 species